CAUGCAAGUCGAACGAAGAGCGACGGAAGCUUGCUUCUAUCAAUCUUAGUGGCGAACGGGUGAGUAACGCGUAAUCAACCUGCCCUUCAGAGGGGGACAACAGUUGGAAACGACUGCUAAUACCGCAUACGAUCUAAUCUCGGCAUCGAGGAUAGAUGAAAGGUGGCCUCUACAUGUAAGCUAUCACUGAAGGAGGGGAUUGCGUCUGAUUAGCUAGUUGGAGGGGUAACGGCCCACCAAGGCGAUGAUCAGUAGCCGGUCUGAGAGGAUGAACGGCCACAUUGGGACUGAGACACGGCCCAGACUCCUACGGGAGGCAGCAGUGGGGAAUCUUCCGCAAUGGACGAAAGUCUGACGAGCAACGCCGCGUGAGUGAUGACGGCCUUCGGGUUGUAAAGCUCUGUUAAUCGGGACGAAAGGCCUUC
rnacentral:rRNA from 1 species